GAUGAACGCUGGCGGCGUGCCUAAUACAUGCAAGUCGAGCGAACAGACGAGGAGCUUGCUCCUUUGAUGUUAGCGGCGGACGGGUGAGUAACACGUAGGUAACCUACCUAUAAGACUGGGAUAACUUCGGGAAACCGGAGCUAAUACCGGAUAAUAUUUCGAACCGCAUGGUUCGAUAGUGAAAGAUGGCUUUGCUAUCACUUAUAGAUGGACCUGCGCCGUAUUAGCUACUUGGUAAGGUAACGGCUUACCAAGGCAACGAUACGUAGCCGACCUGAGAGGGGGAUCGGCCACACUGGAACUAGGACCGGGUCCAGCCUCCUACGGGAGGCAGCAGUGGGAAAUCUGCCGCAAUGGGCGAAAGCCGGACGGAGCAACGCCGCGUGGGUGAUGAAGGUCUUCGGAUCGUAAAACUCUGUUAUGAGGGAAGAACAAACGUGUAAGUAACUGUGCACGUCUUGACGGUACCUAAGCAGAAAGCCACGGCUAACUACGU
rnacentral:rRNA from 1 species